ACCCACACACACGCACAACCGUUGAUGAAUGAUAAGUUUCUAAAAUCCCUUUCAAUUACAUUAAAAUUAAAUAUAGUUAUGAACACUCACUGCUCAUAAGAAAAUAUACAAAAUACAGCCUGUGGUUAGUAACAGCUAAAGUUGGGAGCCAUCUGCAGUGCAGACAAUUUUAAGACAGUUAGCUACUCGGAGUAAUAGCAUCCAAUUUAAAACUGAUUAAGCUGAUAGGUGUAGUCCAUGCAGAGAGGUAUGAAAGAUAAUUUAGUAAAAUUUUAAAAUAUACCCUGAAGUCUUUGAUUAUAUAUCUCAAACUUUCUCUCAGGAUUCGGUAAACCACUUUUCUUCAGUCACCACUAACUAAUUGAAAAGAACUCUCUUUGUCUCAGGAGUCGCUUAAAGUGGACAUGAAACACUUCAAGUAUUUAGUAUAAUUGUCGUUCACUGGACAAAUAAGCUGAAGUCCGAGGCUUUUUUCCUCUGUCUGACUGAGGGUACUAUGAAAGCAGAAGCUGUGAGCCGCAAGGAACGAGACAAAUGACGCGCACACCUAGCAGAGCAGCCAGAGGUGGGAAAACAUGCUUACAAGUUCAGGAGCUCUCGACCCAUACCCAUGGGCUCACAAGUCUCAGGCUUUGCAAGUCAGUCUUACUUUACAGCAAAAAAUAUGGAUGCACUCCCAGCAGAGAACAAGACGCAGCCUCCCUCUCCACCUGUACCUGGUUCUGCCUCUCAUCUCACCCCCACGCUGUAGCGGAAUACAAAACGAGCCAUCAGAGCGCUGCGGUGCUCCGCCACAACCUGGCCAGUGAAGAGUUCUGUUUACUCAGGGAUCCGUGCACAUUUGGGAUGUGUUCACAUUCAAAGACGUGCCAAAUCAUCCUCUCUUUCUUUUUCUCCGUCAGCCCCCCCAUCCCAUCCCACCCCACCUUCUCACCACCCCUCGUUCUGUCUCUCCAUCUCUCUCCAUCUCUUUCUCUCUGCUCCCUUUCCCUCAUGAUAGAUGGAGAUGUGAAAUAUUUAAACACACUUUGUUGUUUAGGGACAAUGCACUCCAGCAGAUGGGCCGGCGCUGCGCGGGGCCGAUGUAUGCAAAUCUCCAUACAAAGCAGGCCAGGAUGUUUUCAAUCUAGCAGCAGCGCCUCGGGCCCUGUUUUAAUCCCCCUUUACCCGUGGCCCGGCCGCUUUUUUUAUCAAGUCAAACGCCUUAAGCGCUGUGUCAACCUGGACAUCUGGCCUCACCAUGCAACCAGGAGAGGAAAAAAGAGAGAGAGGGAAAAAACGUGAGAGAAAAGUCUGUGUGUGUGUGUGUGUGUGUGUGUGUGUGUGUGUGAGAGAGAGAGAGAGAGAGAGAGAGAGAGAGAGAGAGCUGAAUGAUGCUCAGCUGAAAUGUUUGGAGUUGGUUUUGAGUUAUGGAGAAGAUUCAGCCUGAGGUGGAUGUAGUUAUAGUGAGAAAAAUUGUGCAAAAAAUACAUUUCUGUGGAAUUCUUCAGAAAAAUAAAUUUCUAUUGUUAAAUCA
rnacentral:lncRNA from 1 species